UCCCUUCUUAUAGUCCGGUGCAGCGGACGACAUCCCAUCUCUCCCCUCCUACAGCACCGUCGACUCGGCUCCCCCAUGCGAUACUCCAUGGAUUUCUCAGCGGUGUGGUUUCUAUAGUCCCUGGUUCCAUGGUCUCACUCCUCAGCUACCGAUCGGAUUUCAUCAGUGGUGACAGCGGCAACUUGGAGGGGCGUCCUCGCGUGCUUCGUGUCGGGCGGCGGCGGCUACAAGGAGACACAACAGGAGGUGCGGCCAACGACGAGCCCUCACACCUUCACCCUGGACGAACCCGGAAAGAUCUGCUUCAGCCCCGUCUAUAGGAGCUCCGUUGACGGCGGCCUUCGCCCCAGCCUCUCCAUGCAGGUCGCCGUCAAGUACCUCAACAGGGACGGCGUCCAGGGGCACCGCGAGUGGCUGGUGGACGUGUAUUUGGAGAUGCCGAGCCACCCACACCUGCUGCAAUGGUAGCGAUUCUCUUGGCAAGCUAAGCUCCUGAAUGUGAGUACGAAGUCAUGCUCCUGUUUGUGCGUGAUGGGUUUGCGGCAAGGGCGACGAACUUCAGAGUACAGCGACAGGUUUUGUACUUUGUUCUUCAGGAUUUGUUCUGUCUUCAUAUUUCCUUCUUAUAAAAAGGUCACAUUAAUCGAACACAACCAAUCGAAAUCAGCCUUCUCAUGAUUUUCGUUUCAGCCAUAACCCAUGGACUGAUCGAGCCAAAAAGGAUCCCGUCGCAUCGAUUCAUGUCUCAAUAGCUCCCUCCGUGCAUCCUACACCCGUUUCUCAUCUCCCCCACUUAUCUUUAUGGCUUUUAAUACACAAGUGCAUAUAGGAAUCCAAGUAAAUAGCAACGACAGUUAUUAACAGGUUACAGAUCUUUUGCAUUCGUCUUCCUCCCACCUUAAUGUGAGACGGUUCUCCACCACUAUUAAAGCCCUCUGCUAAAACUGCUCUACAGGUCCAACAUUUCAGCUUCAGUUCAUUCAUCUCUUUAAUUUGAGUCACGAGGAGGAGCCACCAAAGCUGGGGACACGUGUACAUCACCCCUGGCCACUAAUUCGUAUUUAGAAACAUGUAUGUAGUGUGAUCAUCAUCUGAUGCGCCGGCCUUCUCGAGCAUUGUCUCUGUCACCGGCAUGCACUCUGGAAUAGUUCUCUGCUUCCAGUUUUCAUCCUCCCAUGCUUACUCUUAUCCAUGAACUUAUGGCUUUGAAUUUGUUAGGUUAUGCUAUAACUCGAAAGUUGCUUGUGGUUUUGUCGGCAAGGGCCAUCACUGCUUCAUUGUUUCUUAGGUAUCUUGCUAUUCACACUCAUCUCCUAAUUUUCUUAUUCACACUGAAUGAUGACAUGCAUCUUUUGGUCUUCUACUAUGUUAAUUUUGUUGUUCGCGUGAAACUCCUAUCUCCGAAUUUAAGUAGUUACAUUGGAUAAGCAUGCAACUUCUGUUUGGAGUAGAUAGCAUAAUAAUCUGCUCCCCCAGAUUCUUCCGUGUUGUGUAUUUCUUCAAAAGGAUUAGCUACAUACUAAAAGAAAAAAACCCUGCUUUGGUUAAGUCAAUUUUCCUUUUUAUGAUUCGCACAGAUGGAUAGAACUAACAAUUCUUCUGAGCCAUUCUAUUAGUCCUCCAGUCUCAUGUUUUGUUUCUGACUAGGAUGACUACAAGUAUAACCCUUGCAAUAAUGUCGUUUUUUUCUCCACAUGUAGGAUAGUGUUAACCACACUGCAAGAAGUUCAUGAACUACUAUGCCUUCUUCCUAGAAUUAGGUGUACUGUUGCUUAAAUCAUGAAUUAGUGACCACAAGGUUGAUCAACUUUCAUUUGUAGUAAAGAACACUCUCAAUUCAUGAUGAUCCAACAUAUGUAUCUGCAUGAAUAAAAAUAUCUCUUUUGGAUGUUUUAUAUUUUA